UCACUUUGUCUUUAUGGCAAAUGUGAGAUGCAGUGUAUGGAAUGUCAAAUUUCUAGUAUGAGAAAUUAACGAUUUAAGUCCUUCUUAAAUGAGGCCAUUUACCCAUAGAGGGUGCCAGGCCCGUAUAACGUUAAUGAUUACUAGAUGGCAUUUCCAAAGAGUCGUGUUGCUUGAUAGUGCAGCACUAAGUGGGUGGUAAACUCCAUCUAAAACUAAAUAUAACCAUGAGACCGAUAGUAAACAAGUACCGUGAGGGAAAGUUGAAAAGAACUCUGAAUAGAGAGUUAAAUAGUACGUGAAACUGCUUAGAGGUUAAGCCCGAUGAACCUGAAUAUCCAUUAUAGAAAAUUCAUCAUUAUGAUUUUAAUAUUUAUAAUAUUAUAAUAAUGGUGUGCAUUUUUUCUAUAACGGACAUUGUAAUCUAUUAACAUAAAUAUAUUUAUCAUAAGAUCAAUGAUGCGUAAGUUUAUUCAAAUUAUUUUGCUUGCAAUUUAACAUAGAAUAAAUGCUCUUGAUUUGAUAAAGUGUUGAUAGAUUUAUUGUAUAUAGUGCUUAAAUAUUUAUAUUUUAUAAUAGCAUAUUAAUCAUUGAUUUUUAUGUUUAUUAUAUGCACUUAUAUGAUUAACAAUGCGAAAGAUUCAGGAUACCUUCGGGACCCGUCUUGAAACACGGACCAAGGAGUCUAACAUAUUUGCAAGUUAUUGGGUAUCAAAACCUAAUAGCGAAAUUAACAUAACUUUAAUGGGAUUAGUUUUUAGAUUAUUUAUAGUCUAUUAAUUCAAUCCCGGGGCGUUCUAUAUAGUUAUGUAUAAUAAUAUUUAUAUUAUUUAUACCUCUAACUAGAGCGUACCUUGAGCAUAUAUGCUGUGACCCGAAAGAUGGUGAACUAUACUUGAUCAGGUUGAAGUCAGGGGAAACCCUGAUGGAAGACCGAAACAGUUCUGACGUGCAAAUCGAUUGUCAGA
rnacentral:rRNA from 1 species